CCCUUAGAUGUCCUGGGCUGCACGCGCGCUACACUGAUGUGUCCAGUAAGCACCUAACCUCUUCCGAAAGGAACGGGUAACCUUUGCAAAGCACAUCGUGAUGGGGAUAGAUUAUUGCAAUUAUUAGUCUUGAACGAGGAAUUCCUAGUAAGCACAAGUCAUCAGCUUGUGUUGAUUACGUCCCUGCCCUUUGUACACACCGCCCGUCGCUCCUACCGAUUGAGCGAUCCGGUGAAUGUUUUGGACUGGCGUCAGAAGCGGUUCGCUCCUGACACUACGAAAUUUUGUAAACCUUAUCGCUUAGAGGAAGGAAAAGUCGUAACA
rnacentral:rRNA from 1 species